rnacentral:rRNA from 1 species
UACGUAGGGAGCAAGCGUUGUCCGGAAUCAUUGGGCGUAAAGCGCGUGUAGGCGGCUUGAUAAGUCUGCUCUGAAAGCCCGGGGCUCAACCCUGGGAGGCGGGUGGAUACUGUCGAGCUCGAGUCCGGAAGAGGCGAGUGGAAUUCCUGGUGUAGCGGUGAAAUGCGCAGAUAUCAGGAGGAACACCAAUGGCGAAGGCAGCUCGCUGGGACGGUACUGACGCUGAGACGCGAAAGCGUGGGGAGCGAACAGG